rnacentral:lncRNA from 1 species
AUGUCCCAGCAGCAGCCAGGCCCCUCGGCUGUGCUGAGCUACCGGCACAGCAUCUCCCAUCCCCAGGGAGCUGUGCCUCGCUGGGGCCCGAGGGCAGCUGGCGACUUCUUAACCCUGCGGUUUCUGAGCUGGGGAUGUACCCUGAGGGCUCAGGGGCUUCUGGGCUCGGUGCGGCACCAGCGUGUCUGGGUGCAGGUGGACGUGUUUGGCUCUGCAGGGAAGGAGGACCCUCCCUCCCUGUGUUCCGCCAGCCCUCCCUGCAUUGUCUGGGGUUUAGAGGGCACAGGGAAUGCUCCCACACUGGGAAUGCUCCCACACCCUGAGGACACACUGGGAAUGCUCCCACACGGGGAAUGCUCCCACACCCCGCUCCGGGCCUGCCCUGCGGGGUGGGGGCCCAAUCACACUCCCAGGGUGUCCAACCCCAGCUGGGAUUUUGGCAGCUCUGUGCUGGCAGGGGGGUUUAUACAGGGGGUUUUGCCUAAAUAA